rnacentral:rRNA from 1 species
AUUGAACGCUGGCGGCAUGCCUUACACAUGCAAGUCGAACGGUAACAGGUUAAGCUGACGAGUGGCGAACGGGUGAGUAAUACAUCGGAACGUGCCCAGUAGUGGGGGAUAGCCCGGCGAAAGCCGGAUUAAUACCGCAUACGACCUAAGGGUGAAAGGGGGGGAUCGCAAGACCUCUCGCUAUUGGAGCGGCCGAUGUCAGAUUAGCUAGUUGGUGGGGUAAAAGCUCACCAAGGCGACGAUCUGUAGCUGGUCUGAGAGGACGACCAGCCACACGGGGACUGAGACACGGCCCAGACUCCUACGGGAGGCAGCAGUGGGGAAUUUUGGACAAUGGGCGCAAGCCUGAUCCAGCCAUGCCGCGUGCGGGAAGAAGGCCUUCGGGUUGUAAACCGCUUUUGUCAGGGAAGAAAUCCUUUGGGUUAAUACCUCGGGGGGAUGACGGUACCUGAAGAAUAAGCACCGGCUAACUACGUGCCAGCCGCCGCCGUAACAC